rnacentral:rRNA from 1 species
AUUGAACGCUGGCGGCAGGCCUAACACAUGCAAGUCGAACGGUAACAGGAAGCAGCUUGCUGCUUUGCUGACGAGUGGCGGACGGGUGAGUAAUGUCUGGGAAACUGCCCGAUGGAGGGGGAUAACUACUGGAAACGGUAGCUAAUACCGCAUAACGUCGCAAGACCAAAGAGGGGGACCUUAGGGCCUCUUGCCAUCGGAUGUGCCCAGAUGGGAUUAGCUAGUAGGUGGGGUAACGGCUCACCUAGGCGACGAUCCCUAGCUGGUCUGAGAGGAUGACCAGCCACACUGGAACUGAGACACGGUCCAGACUCCUACGGGAGGCAGCAGUGGAGAAUAUUGCACAAUGGGCGCAAGCCUGAUGCAGCCAUGCCGCGUGCAUGAAGAAGGCCUUCGGGUUGUAAAGUACUUUCAGCGGGGAGGAAGGGAGUAAAGUUAAUACCUUUGCUCAUUGACGUUACCCGCAGAAGAAGCACCGGCUAACUCCGUG